rnacentral:rRNA from 1 species
UACGGAGGAUGCAAGCGUUAUCCGGAAUGAUUGGGCGUAAAGCGUCCGCAGGUGGCUAUGUAAGUCUGCUGUUAAAGAGUGAGGCUCAACCUCAUAAGAGCAGUGGAAACUACAUAGCUAGAGUGCGUUCGGGGCAGAGGGAAUUCCUGGUGUAGCGGUGAAAUGCGUAGAUAUCAAGAGGAACACCAGUGGCGAAGGCGGGUCCCUGGACAACACCUGACACUGAGGCACGAAAGCUAGGGGAGCAAACAGG